rnacentral:rRNA from 1 species
UGGGGGGACCAUCCUCCAAGGCUAAAUACUCGUAAUCGACCGAUAGCGAACUAGUACCGUGAGGGAAAGGCGAAAAGAACCCCUGUGAGGGGAGUGAAAUAGAACCUGAAACCGUAUACGUACAAGCAGUAGGAGCAGACUUGUUCUGUGACUGCGUACCUUUUGUAUAAUGGGUCAGCGACUUAUUUUCAGUGGCGAGCUUAACCGAAUAGGGGAGGCGUAGCGAAAGCGAGUCUUAAUAGGGCGCAUGAGUUCGUGGGAUCAGACCCGAAACCGAGUGAUCUAGGCAUGGCCAGGUUGAAGGUGCAGUAACAUGCACUGGAGGACCGAACCCACAUCUGUUGAAAAAGAUCGGGAUGAGCUGUGCCUAGGGGUGAAAGGCCAAUCAAACUCGGAGAUAGCUGG